rnacentral:rRNA from 1 species
AGGGUUCGAUUCUGGCUCAGGAUGAACGCUGGCGGCGUGCUUAACACAUGCAAGUCGAACGGGAUCCUGCCAGCUUGCUGGCGGGUGAGAGUGGCGAACGGGUGAGUAAUGCGUGACCGACCUGCCCCAUGCUCCGGAAUAGCUCCUGGAAACGGGUGGUAAUGCCGGAUGCUCCACGAGGCUGCAUGGCCUUGUGGGAAAGCGUUAGCGGCAUGGGAUGGGGUCGCGUCCUAUCAGCUUGACGGCGGGGUAACGGCCCACCGUGGCUUCGACGGGUAGCCGGCCUGAGAGGGCGACCGGCCACAUUGGGACUGAGAUACGGCCCAGACUCCUACGGGAGGCAGCAGUGGGGAAUAUUGCGCAAUGGGGGGAACCCUGACGCAGCGACGCCGCGUGCGGGAUGGAGGCCUUCGGGUUGUAAACCGCUUUUGAUCGGGAGCAAGCCUUCGGGUGAGUGUACCUUUCGAAUAAGCGCCGGCUAACUACGUGCCAGCAGCCGCGGUAAUACGUAGGGCGCAAGCGUUAUCCGGAUUUAUUGGGCGUAAAGGGCUCGUAGGCGGUCCGUCGCGUCCGGUGUGAAAGUCCAUCGCUUAACGGUGGAUCUGCGCCGGGUACGGGCGGGCUGGAGUGCGGCAGGGGAGACUGGAAUUCCCGGUGUAACGGUGGAAUGUGUAGAUAUCGGGAAGAACACCAAUGGCGAAGGCAGGUCUCUGGGCCGUUACUGACGCUGAGGAGCGAAAGCGUGGGGAGCGAACAGGAUUAGAUACCCUGGUAGUCCACGCCGUAAACGGUGGACGCUGGAUGUGGGGCCCUUUCCACGGGUUCCGUGUCGGAGCUAACGCGUUAAGCGUCCCGCCUGGGGAGUACGGCCGCAAGGCUAAAACUCAAAGAAAUUGACGGGGGCCCGCACAAGCGGCGGAGCAUGCGGAUUAAUUCGAUGCAACGCGAAGAACCUUACCUGGGCUUGACAUGUUCCCGACAGCCCCAGAGAUGGGGCCUCCCUUCGGGGCGGGUUCACAGGUGGUGCAUGGUCGUCGUCAGCUCGUGUCGUGAGAUGUUGGGUUAAGUCCCGCAACGAGCGCAACCCUCGCCCCGUGUUGCCAGCAUUUCGGAUGGGAACUCACGGGGGACCGCCGGGGUUAACUCGGAGGAAGGUGGGGAUGACGUCAGAUCAUCAUGCCCCUUACGUCCAGGGCUUCACGCAUGCUACAAUGGCCGGUACAGCGGGAUGCGACAUGGUGACAUGGAGCGGAUCCCUGAAAACCGGUCUCAGUUCGGAUCGGAGCCUGCAACCCGGCUCCGUGAAGGCGGAGUCGCUAGUAAUCGCGGAUCAGCAACGCCGCGGUGAAUGCGUUCCCGGGCCUUGUACACACCGCCCGUCAAGUCAUGAAAGUGGGCAGCACCCGAAGCCGGUGGCCUAACCCUUGUGGGGGGGAGCCGUCUAAGGUGAGGCUCGUGAUUGGGACUAAGUCGUAACAAGGUAGCCGUACCGGAAGGUGCGGCUGGAUCACCU